rnacentral:tRNA from 1 species
GCGAGAGUGGCGGAAUUGGUAGACGCGCAAGACUUAGGAUCUUGUGGAGGUCCUCCUCCGUGAGGGUUCGAGUCCCUCCUCUCGCACCA